rnacentral:rRNA from 1 species
UCUGUCGCGUCGGAUGUGAAAGCCCGGGGCUUAACCCCGGGUCUGCAUUCGAUACGGGCAGACUAGAGUGUGGUAGGGGAGAUCGGAAUUCCUGGUGUAGCGGUGAAAUGCGCAGAUAUCAGGAGGAACACCGGUGGCGAAGGCGGAUCUCUGGGCCAUUACUGACGCUGAGGAGCGAAAGCGUGGGGAGCGAACAGGAUUAGAUACCCUGGUAGUCCACGCCGUAAACGGUGGGAACUAGGUGUUGGCGACAUUCCACGUCGUCGGUGCCGCAGCUAACGCAUUAAGUUCCCCGCCUGGGGAGUACGGCCGCAAGGCUAAAACUCAAAGGAAUUGACGGGG